rnacentral:rRNA from 1 species
AACUCUGAGCAGUGGAUCACUCGGCUCACGGGUCGAUGAAGACCGCAGCCAGCUGCGAGACUUGGUGUGAAUUGCAGGAUAUGAUUUUUCGCACGCGAAUUGCUAUCACGAGUGAUGGGGUCGGAUGAGACUUGCACAAGGAGCU